rnacentral:rRNA from 1 species
UACGUAGGGGGCAAGCGUUGUUCGGAAUUACUGGGCGUAAAGGGAGCGUAGGCGGAAGGGUAAGUUGGGUGUGAAAUCCACAGGCACAACCUGUGGUUUGCUCUCAAUACUGCCUUUCUUGAGUAUUGGAGAGGGAGAUGGAAUUCCAGGUGUAGCGGUGGAAUGCGUAGAUAUCUGGAAGAACACCAGUUGCGAAGGCGGUCUCCUGGCCAAAUACUGACGCUGAGGCUCGAAAGCUAGGGGAGCAAACAGG